rnacentral:rRNA from 1 species
UACGUAGGGGGCAAGCGUUGUCCGGAUUUAUUGGGCGUAAAGAGCGUGUAGGCGGCCAGACAGGUCUGCUGUGAAAACUCGAGGCUCAACCUCGAGACGCCGGUGGAAACCGUCUGGCUAGAGUCCGGAAGAGGAGAGUGGAAUUCCUGGUGUAGCGGUGAAAUGCGCAGAUAUCAGGAAGAACACCCGUGGCUAAGGCGGCUCUCUAGUACGGUACUGACGCUGAGACGCGAAAGUGUGGGGAGCGAACAGG